GGCUUGAUAAGGUGUAUAGGGAUCUCUCUAUAAUAAAAAAAAAAAAACCCAAAAGACUGUAAAAAAAACUUUCAAUAUCUUGAUUGUCUGUGUUGUUGGGUUGUUGUCUCAUCAAUAUUUACUCUUAAUCCCUUUUUUCGAACCCAAAGGGUAGACUUGAGCACAGAAAUAUUGUCCACUCUUGACUUCAUCAGCUCGACUUUCGAC
rnacentral:lncRNA from 1 species